rnacentral:misc_RNA from 1 species
GAUUAAGAACGCAGCGAAAUGCGAUAAGUAGUGUGAAUUGCAGAAUUCAGUGAAUCAUCGAAUCUUUGAACGCACAUUGCGCCCUUUGGUAUUCCAAAGGGCAUGCCUGUUCGAGCGUCAUUUGUACCCUCAAGCUUUGCUUGGUGUUGGGCGUCUUGUCUCUAGCUUUGCUGGAGACUCGCCUUAAAGUAAUUGGCAGCCGGCCUACUGGUUUCGGAGCGCAGCACAAGUCGCACUCUCUAUCAGCAAAGGUCUAGCAUCCAUUAAGCCUUUUUUUCAACUUUUGACCUCGGAUCAGGUAGGGAUACCCGCUGAACUUAAGCAUAUCAAUAAGCGGAGGA